AGUCCCAGCCACGUGAGGCUCUCCCUGGGAUGUGAGGGUCGUCUCGUCUGUUUACACGGGGGCCACAGUGCAGAUCCCAGCCCGGGCAGGGGAGGGGCAAAUCUAUGCCCACUCCAAGCUUCCACUUCUGCCCGCCUCAAAGUGCCGGAGACUCCGGCACCUCUGCGUUCCUCCUUCCCGGUAGGAACAGAAAGCUGGGAAAGGGCUGGGGUGGCAAGGAAGAGCCCCAGGAAGACGGGAGUGGCUCUCCCCACUCCCUGGAGGACAUCCCUCCCCCAAGCCCAUGGGCCGCCUUCUCCAGGGACGCCUCCCUGUCCCACCCACCGGGCAAGGUGGGCCCAGCAGGGUCUCCUUUUCACCGUGCGCCCCCUCCUGUGGCCGGGUCCUGGGCUGAUGACUUCACAUGCUGCUUUUACAAGUCAGGUUUAUUGCGGUAUCACGUACACACAUAAGGCUCACCCCUUUUCGAUGCACAGCCGACGACUUGCUUUGCGUCCUCCAGAAUUGUCCUGUGAGUGACUCCCGCAGGAUGGAGACUUUUGUGUCUGGCUUCCUUCACUUCGCAGCAGGCUUCGCGGGACCCGUGUGGUGGCACCAGCGUCCUGCCCUUGGUGCUGCUGAGCUGUAGGUUGUGGGGCAGGUGGAGUGGCUCUGCAGAAAGCCAUGAAAGAGGAUCCUGAAAGAGCAAGGGCGGCCUCCAGGUGAAGGUGGUGGGCGGCCUCCAGGUGAAGGCGGCCUCCAGGUGAAGGUGGUCAGCACCCUCCCUUUGGCCAAGAGGAGACUGCAGUUUCAACUCAAAGAUUAUUCCUGAAUGAUGCAGCAAGCUUAAACUUCCUUAAAAACAAACCUCUGGGAAGAGGAAAACGAGGCAAGAUGCUGAGAAAAAGUCAUCUCCCACUCUGCCCUUCUCUGGCAAAUCGAAGUGUCCUCUUGUGGGAGGCGGUGGGCAGCGACACUCCUGUUGGACGUCAGUGCUCUCGGGCCCGGCCACCCCGGAGCAGAACUCACUUAGGGCCUGGUGCCCCUGUGCUCAGUUCUCAGAACGCCGGAGUGCCCCAUUCAUCACCUGCAGCCCCGUUCAUAGCCUGCAGCUCCCCUCCUUCCUCUCCUCCCGGUCUUCAGGGAGCACCCCCAGCUCCCCUCCCCACUCUCAAACCCUCCUCCUCCCUCCCCUCUCUCAGUUCCCUGUUUGCAGGAUCUCUUCCUGCCCACUCUCCAGCCCAGGUCCUCCCCUCUCAUCUCCAAUUCUGCUUCACGGGCCAUGACAGCAGGCAGGCCAUGUCCUGCUCUCAGCAGUUUGAUCGAUGGACUAAGGAGAUCACUCCUAUGAGAGUGAAAAAGUCAAAUGUGCCUGAGAUUCGGAUGGGGAGCUCUCAAAGCUACGGAUUGCAAGAGUCAACACCGCCUCAAAAGUACAAGGCCGGCCGGGUGCAGUGGCUCACACCUGUAAUCCCAGCACUUUGGGAGACUGAGGCGGGUGGAUCACCUGAGGUCAGGAGCUCAAGACCAGCCUGACCAACAUGGUGAAAUCCCGUCUCUAUUAAAAAUACAAAAAAGAUUAGCCGGGUGUGGUGGUGCAUGCUUGUAGUCCCAGCUACUCGGGAGGCUGAGGCAGGGGGAGCACUUGAACCCGGGAGGUGGAGGUUGCAGUGAGCCGAGAUUGCGCCAUUGCACUCCAGCCUGGGCAACAGAGUGACACCCUGCCUCAAAAAAAUAAAAAAAUAAAAGUACGAGGCCCGGUUUAAAUGCAGGAGGAAUCUGGUGAGCGAGUUUCACUCUGAUGCAACAGAAAAGCCAAGCCAAGCCUUGGCUGUGCCUGGUCUUGGCCGGGGAGCCACAGGCAGGGUCUGCUGGUUUCGGUGUCAGGGGCACAUCCCCAGGACCACGUCUGAGAUGGGAAGUGCCUUGAUGGAAAACUGAUACCUUUUUCUUUCCGAGUAACUUUAGAACAUGUCGCUUCAAAUAUAACUAAUAUCCUGAUUUCAGUGGACUUGCAUGGAAGGAAACGCAAGUUCAUUUGCCAGUGGGGGGUGAGGACUGGGAGAGUGGGGAGCAGGGUGGGGAAGAGGGGAGCAUUCCACAAGCCGCAAGAGCCUGGACACCUCCAGCCUUCAAUAAAUAGCAUUUGAAUUUGCUGUGCCUAA